UACGGAGGAUGCGAGCGUUAUCCGGAUUCAUUGGGUUUAAAGGGUGCGUAGGCGGUUUUUUAAGUCAGUGGUGAAAUCCUGCGGCUCAACCGUAGAACUGCCAUUGAAACUGAAGAACUUGAAUAUAGUUGAGGUAGGCGGAAUGUGCAGUGUAGCGGUGAAAUGCUUAGAUAUUGCACAGAACACCGAUUGCGAAGGCAGCUUACCAAGCUAUUAUUGACGCUGAGGCACGAAAGCGUGGGGAUCGAAAAGGAUUAGAUA
rnacentral:rRNA from 1 species